UCAGUCAGACAGACGGUCGCGGUUUAUCGACUACCGAUAAAGCGAGGAAAGUCCGAGCAUUAAAAGAACAGGGUGCCAGUUAACGGCUGGUGGAGGCGACUCUAAGGAUAGUGCAACAGAAAUAGACUGCCUUUUGGCGAUGGUGGAAAGGUAGGGUAAGAGCCUACCGAGGAGGUGGUAACACUUCCUGCUCUGUAAACCCCACCCGAUGCAAGGUUAAGUUUGGGCGUAUAUGUGUUCUUUCAUGUCCAACAAAAAUACCGCUUGAUUUUGUUGGUGACAACAAAACUAGAAAGAUGACCGUUUGAUACAGAACUCGGCUUACAGUCUGGCUGACUUA
rnacentral:RNase_P_RNA from 1 species